GGCAGUGCAGGUUUCAGCCGCCCAUCUACUAAAAUUUGAACAAUACAGAGGUUAUAGUGGUCCUUGCACAAGGGUGACAAGCAAAUUUACGAAGCAUUCCAUAUUAAA
rfam:Otolemur garnettii contig196267, whole genome shotgun sequence.